rnacentral:rRNA from 1 species
GACGAACGCUGGCGGCGUGCUUAACACAUGCAAGUCGAGCGAUGAAGUUCCUUCGGGAAUGGAUUAGCGGCGGACGGGUGAGUAACACGUGGGUAACCUGCCUCAUAGAGGGGAAUAGCCUUUCGAAAGGAAGAUUAAUACCGCAUAAGAUUGUAGUUUCGCAUGAAACAGCAAUUAAAGGAGUAAUCCGCUAUGAGAUGGACCCGCGUCGCAUUAGCUAGUUGGUGAGGUAACGGCUCACCAAGGCGACGAUGCGUAGCCGACCUGAGAGGGUGAUCGGCCACAUUGGGACUGAGACACGGCCCAGACUCCUACGGGAGGCAGCCGUGGGGAAUAUUGCACAAUGGGGGAAACCCUGAUGCAGCAACGCCGCGUGAGUGAUGACGGUCUUCGGAUUGUAAAACUCUGUCUUCAGGGACGAUAAUGACGGUACCUGAGGAGGAAGCCACGGCUAACUACGUGCCAGCAGCCGCGGUAAAAC